CAGAUUGAACGCUGGCGGCAUGCCUAACACAUGCAAGUCGAACGGGAGUAGCAAUACUCUAGUGGCGGACGGGUGAGGAAUACGUAGGAAUUUGCCCUUAAGUGGGGGAUAACCCGGGGAAACCCGGAUUAAUACCGCAUGACCUCGAAAGAGCAAAGUGGGGGAUCGCAAGACCUCACGCUUUUGGAGAAGCCUACGUCGGAUUAGCUAGUUGUGAGGUAAUGGCUCACCAAGGCGACGAUCCGUAACUGGUCUGAG
rnacentral:rRNA from 1 species